rnacentral:rRNA from 1 species
GGGUUGUGAGGUUAAGCGACUAAGCGUACACGGUGGAUGCCCUGGCAGUCAGAGGCGAUGAAGGACGUGCUAAUCUGCGAUAAGCGCCGGUAAGGUGAUAUGAACCGUUAUAACCGGCGAUUUCCGAAUGGGGAAACCCAGUGUGAUUCGUCACACUAUCAUUAACUGAAUCCAUAGGUUAAUGAGGCGAACCGGGGGAACUGAAACAUCUAAGUACCCCGAGGAAAAGAAAUCAACCGAGAUUCCCCCAGUAGCGGCGAGCGAACGGGGAGGAGCCCAGAGCCUGAAUCAGCAUGUGUGUUAGUGGAAGCGUCUGGAAAGGCGCGCGAUACAGGGUGACAGCCCCGUACACAAAAGCGCAUGUGCUGUGAGCUCGAUGAGUAGGGCGGGACACGUGGUAUCCUGUCUGAAUAUGGGGGGACCAUCCUCCAAGGCUAAAUACUCCUGACUGACCGAUAGUGAACCAGUACCGUGAGGGAAAGGCGAAAAGAACCCCGGCGAGGGGAGUGAAAAAGAACCUGAAACCGUGUACGUACAAGCAGUGGGAGCACCCUUUG